AGAGUUUGAUCCUGGCUCAGGACGAACGCUGGCGGCGCGCCUAACACAUGCAAGUCGAACGAGAGAGAAGGAGCUUGCUUCUUCGAUCGAGUGGCGAACGGGUGAGUAACGCGUGAGGAACCUGCCUCAAAGAGGGGGACAACAGUUGGAAACGACUGCUAAUACCGCAUAAGCCCACGGCUCGGCAUCGAGCAGAGGGAAAAGGAGCAAUCCGCUUUGAGAUGGCCUCGCGUCCGAUUAGCUAGUUGGUGAGGUAACGGCCCACCAAGGCGACGAUCGGUAGCCGGACUGAGAGGUUGAACGGCCACAUUGGGACUGAGACACGGCCCAGACUCCUACGGGAGGCAGCAGUGGGGAAUAUUGCACAAUGGGGGAAACCCUGAUGCAGCGACGCCGCGUGGAGGAAGAAGGUCUUCGGAUUGUAAACUCCUGUUGUUGAGGAAGAUAAUGACGGUACUCAACAAGGAAGUGACGGCUAACUACGUGCCAGCAGCCGCGGUAAAACGUAGGUCACAAGCGUUGUCCGGAAUUACUGGGUGUAAAGGGAGCGCAGGCGGGAAGACAAGUUGGAAGUGAAAUCUAUGGGCUCAACCCAUAAACUGCUUUCAAAACUGUUUUUCUUGAGUAGUGCAGAGGUAGGCGGAAUUCCCGGUGUAGCGGUGGAAUGCGUAGAUAUCGGGAGGAACACCAGUGGCGAAGGCGGCCUACUGGGCACCAACUGACGCUGAGGCUCGAAAGUGUGGGUAGCAAACAGGAUUAGAUACCCUGGUAGUCCACACCGUAAACGAUGAUUACUAGGUGUUGGAGGAUUGACCCCUUCAGUGCCGCAGUUAACACAAUAAGUAAUCCACCUGGGGAGUACGACCGCAAGGUUGAAACUCAAAGGAAUUGACGGGGGCCCGCACAAGCAGUGGAGUAUGUGGUUUAAUUCGACGCAACGCGAAGAACCUUACCAAGUCUUGACAUCCCUUGACGAUGCUGGAAACAGUAUUUCUCUUCGGAGCAAGGAGACAGGUGGUGCAUGGUUGUCGUCAGCUCGUGUCGUGAGAUGUUGGGUUAAGUCC
rnacentral:rRNA from 1 species